rnacentral:rRNA from 1 species
GACGGAAGGUGCAAGCGUUGCUCGGAAUCACUGGGCGUAAAGGGUGCGUAGGCGGCUUGGUGGGUCUGGUGUGAAAGCCCCGGGCUCAGCCCGGGAAGGGCACUAGAAACUGCCGAGCUGGAGUGCCGGAGGGGAGAGUGGAAUUCCUGGUGUAGCGGUGAAAUGCGUAGAUAUCUGGAGGAACACCGGUGGCGAAGGCGGCAUCCUGGACCGACACUGACGCUGAGGCGCGAAAGCUAGGGUAGCAAACGGG